CAGUUCGAUGCUUUGCUAGAAUUUUUAACUGUCCAAGAGCAUCUUGAGCUUUAUGCAAAAAUAAAAGGGGUGUCAGAUUAUUGGAUAGAUGAUGGGUGAAGGAGUUUGAUGCUAGAUGGAUUGGUUGGGCUGGUGUAAAUGUGCCUGAUGAGACUGGACAAAUUGCACUAACCAAAGCUUUAGCUGAAAAGAGGUGCAUACCAGUAUUUCUUGAUGAGGAUAUUGUUCAUCAAUAUUACAAUGGUUACUGUAACAACAUAUUGUGGCCACUUUUUCAUUAUUUUGGGCUUCCACAAAAAGACCGCCUUGCUGAUGUAGUGAAUGAGC